rnacentral:rRNA from 1 species
GAUGAACGCUAGCGGCAGGCUUAACACAUGCAAGUCGAGGGGCAGCGCGGGAUAGCAAUAUCCUGGCGGCGACCGGCGGAAGGGUGCGUAACGCGUGAGCGACAUGCCCGUUGCCCGGGGACAACCGGGGGAAACGCCGACUAAUCCCCGAUGGGAUAUUGUGCCGCAUGGCACGAUAUUGAAAGUUACGGCGGCGACGGAUUGGCUCGCGUCCGUUUGGCUGGUUGGCGGGGUAACGGCCCACCAAGGCUGCGAUCGGUAGGGGUUCUGAGAGGAAGGCCCCCCACAAUGGGACUGAGCCACGGCCCAUACUCCUACGGGAGGCAGCAGUGAGGAAUAUUGGUAAAUGGGCGGAAGCCUGAACCAGCCAUGCCGCGUGCGGGAAGGAGGCCCUAUGGGCUGUGAACCGCUUUUGCCUGGGGGCAAUAAGGGCGUCGCGCACGUCCGAUGAGAGUACCAGGCGAAUAAGCAUCGGCUAACUCCGUG